rnacentral:rRNA from 1 species
GAUGAACGCUGGCGGCGUGCCUAAUACAUGCAAGUCGAGCGAACAGAUGAGGAGCUUGCUCCUCUGACGUUAGCGGCGGACGGGUGAGUAACACGUGGAUAACCUACCUAUACGACUGGGAUAACUUCGGGAAACCGGAGCUAAUACCGGAUAAUAUAUUGAACCGCAUGGUUCAAUAGUGAAAGACGGUUUUGCUGUCACUUAUAGAUGGAUCCGCGCCGCAUUAGCUAGUUGGUAGGGUAACGGCUUACCAAGGCAACGAUGCGUAGCCGACCUGAGGGGGUGAUCGGCCACACUGGAACUGAGACACGGUCCAGACUCCUACGGGAGGCAGCAGUAGGGAAUCUUCCGCAAUGGGCGAAAGCCUGACGGAGCAACGCCGCGUGAGUGAUGAAGGUCUUCGGAUCGUAAAACUCUGUUAUUAGGGAAGAACAAAUGUGUAAGUAACUAUGCACGUCUUGACGGUACCUAAUCAGAAAGCCACGGCUAACUACGUG